rnacentral:rRNA from 1 species
AUGAUUAAGGGAAAGUCGUGCAAGUUGAUGAUCGAUGGUGGUAGUUGUACUAACGGCAUUAGCAAGGCAAUGGUGGCUUCAUUGGAAUUGUCCACAUGGCGUAUUCCUAAACCUAAGCAUAUGGAGUGGCUGAAUAGUUGCGGUAUGCUGAAAGUUACACAUAAGGUGCGUGUGCCGUUUAUAGUUGGUGAGUAUGCUGAUGAAGUGGAGUGCGAUGUGUUGCCAUUAGAGGUGUGUGGACUAUUACUUGGGCGUCCAUGGCAGUAUGAUCACAAUGCUAUGCAUGCUGGGAGAGCCAAUACAUAUAUCUUCAAGCAUGUUGGCAAACAGAGGAUGUUGAAACCU